rnacentral:tRNA from 1 species
GGCCCUAUCGUCUAGCCAGGCCUAGGACACUAGAUUUUCAUUCUAGCGACCGGGGUUCAAAUCCCCGUAGGGUCA